ACAGAGAGGAGACAGAAGAAUCCAGAGACUUGAGCAAUGGUGGAGUAUCAGUCUUGGGGAAACCAAAGGAUAAAUGGAGGAAAGUGAAGAAGAGAGAAGGCAAGGACUCAAGUAAGAGGAAGAGAUGGACAGAGAGAAACAAAUGGAAGCAUCAAGUAGGAGGAUGGAAUUACAGAGAGAAUGGGAAGAAGACUCAGGUGGCCUCUAAAUUAAGCCAGACCACCCCCCACCUCCAAUCCUUCAUCCCUGCUCAGUCUCAUUUUCCCAGAGAAGAAGGUGAGGGAGAACAGGCACCUUUAAUCAGACCCCAGACUUCCUUGCAUGGAAGGGGAGGGCACUGAGUCAGGAUGAGGGGUGGCUGUGCUCAGCCCCCACCCUGAGCCACCCUCCUUAUCCUAGCACUUCAUUGUGGCAUCCGGAGUGGCAGAGGCUUAUCAACAUCCUGACAUCCUGGGAGCUCCAAGAGUCCCAUGGAAACCAAAUGAGGUGCUAUGACUGCAAAGGAGGCCCCAGCAGCUCCUGCAAAGAAACCGUGGCCACCUGCAGGGAGGGAGAACGCUGUGGCUUCCUGGAGCGCAAACCCCAGCCAGGCCUGGGACC